UGGUGAAUCAUCAGAAUCAUCUUGUGCUUUUCAUCAAAGAGUAAUGUUUAAAUAAGCAUCAAAUUGAUACAAUGUCACACCAAUAGUGAGUCUUGCUAAUUCUCACAUGUCACAACGGCUGACGACUCUAAUUUAACAGUGUUUAUAUUUUUCAUGAUAAAUAGGACUCCAUACAGGAUAAACUUGUGAUAUGAAUCUUCUAGAAAAUCUUCUCUCACAACACACAUUGGAUCUUUUAGCUGAGAAGCACAAGAUGAUUCUGAUGAUUCACCA
rnacentral:misc_RNA from 1 species